CCGGUCCAGAUCCGCGGAUCCAGACCCUUUUUUCCGGAUCUGGACCUUGCAAAAUUUGGACCCGGCGGAUCUGGACCGGAUCUGGAGCACUCUAUAAAAAACCGGAUCCGGAUCUGGAGUAGAAGAUGUAAAACCCAGAUCCGGUCCAGAUCCGGAUCUGGACCCGGUAAUAUUAAAGAUAUAAUAUUUUUAUUUUUUUUUAAUUUUAUCCUAGGCUAGAAAGUAAUACUAGACUUCUAACUUUUACAAUUCAAUUUCAAAACCCUACUUCAUCCCACCUCAAGCGCCGCUCGCCUCUCCUCCACCCGCGCCGCUCGCCUAUCCUCCGGCCGGCGGCCGUCCACCUCCGAAUCAGCCCCUCCGGCCUUCCCCACCCGAGAGCAGCAGCGUGAGCACUGAGCAGCAGCGUGAGCAGAGCAGCGUGAGCAGCAGCGUGAGACGACGCCAAUCCAUCUACGGCCGCUCCUCUCCGGCCGCUGUGCAGGUUCUCGGGUAUUUCGGUUGGUUUCAGUCAGGCAUUGACUAGAUGUUCAGUUGCAUCACUUUCGAAAUGUGGAAAUCAAGAUUUUGCCAGAGUUCUUUCUGCUUCGCUCAGACAUUUGCACGGUAAAAUGGUGGUUAUUUGGUGAUUAAUUUCUCAUAUUUGAAGAACUAUUGAUGGUUUAUCCUUUGGUUAUGGAUGGUCAUUUUCCGCUGAAGAUUUAUUUUCAUUUGGUCUGGUAGCUCUGUCUUCGUAUUGUAUUACAUUACAGUUGGUACAAGUUUGUAUCAGUCAAGAGAAGCCAGCAACCUGUGCACUAUGCUAUAAAUAUACCCUUUUUUCUUUUAUCAUAUUCAUUAACAUCUUUGAGGAUUACAGAAAGUAGCUGCAAUAUGGAAGACAUCUUUGAGGAUUACAGAAAUUGAUCGUUUCAAUAUUAGGAUUAUUAUGUUCUCAUUUUGGAUUGUUUGGUUUUAAAUGAAUUAUGAUGUUCUUAUUUAUUUUGGAUUGUUUAGUUUUAAAUGGAUUAUGGUGUAUUUUGUAUUCUUGAAUGAUUGUUGAAACUUUAGACAAUUGUUAUGAUUUUUA